rnacentral:rRNA from 1 species
GCAAGUCGAGCGCUUCACUUCGGUGAGGAGCGGCGGACGGGUUAGUAACGCGUGGGAACAUACCCUUUUCUAUUGAAUAGCCUUUGGAAACGAAGAGUAAUACCAUAUACGACCUUCGGGGGAAAGAUUUAUCGGAGAAGGAUUGGCCCGCGUUAGAUUAGAUAGUUGGUGGGGUAACGGCCUACCAAGUCUACGAUCUAUAGCUGGUUUGAGAGGAUGAUC